rnacentral:rRNA from 1 species
AGGAUGAACGCUGGCGGCGUGCCUAACACAUGCAAGUCGAACGUCCUGUCUCGCAAGAGGCAGGGAGUGGCGGACGGGUGAGUACCACGUGGGUCAUCUACCGUGAGGUGAGGAAUACCGGCGAGAAAUCGCCGACAAGACCGCAUAGGCUCGAUGCAAGUCGAGCAAAGCUCUUUCGAGAGAGGGAGCGCCACACGAGGAGCCUGCGCCCGAUUAGCUAGCUGGUGGAGUAACGGUUCACCAGGGCGACGAUCGGUAGCUGGUCUGAGAGGACGAUCAGCCACACUGGGAUUGAGAACGGCCCAGACUCCUACGGGGGGCAGCAGUGAGGAAUUUUCGUCAAUGGGGGCAACCCUGAACGAGCAACGCCGCGUGCAGGAGAAGGUUUUCGGAUCGUAAACUGCUUUUCUCGGGGAAGAGAACGGACGGUACCCGAGGAAUCAGCCCCGGCUAACUACGUGCCAGCAGCCGC